rfam:Glycine max cultivar Williams 82 chromosome 20, whole genome shotgun sequence.
UUCUUAUUGGAUCAUACUUGUCACAUGUCAUGUUCUGAUUGGUCAAUGAAAACAACAAUGCAUUUCAUCUUUCAUAGAGUUGACAUCCAAUCAGAACAUGACACGUGACAGUCAUCAUUC